AAUUGGGUAAGAUGGUUUAGGAGAGGGGAGGGAACGAGUUGGUGAGUUGAUCCAAGAGGUCCGCAUCGGGUACCUCAACCCUUUUAGCCGCCGCAUCAAUACCACCAUCUCACAGCCGCAGACGGAACCACCAUUCAAUUUUCGCGAAUCCACCGCCAUCUCUCAGUUUCUUAGAUCCAGCCGCCCAUCGGGUUCCUUCGUAAAAGGUCGGUAAUCGAUUCCAUGAUAUACCAUUGCAGCCGUUGACACAGAGAUUGCCAUGGAAGCGUUCGUUUUCAUUAUUUCAAAACCACAAGCAAAACCGAGACCGAACUCAAUUCGUCGAAACCCUCAGUUGCUUCUUCGAUCUGAGCUGAAUAAGUCAAAUCGUUUCUCUGAUUAUCUGGCUUUCAAUUUAUAUGUAUAAUAUAGAGUUUUGGGUGGGAGCUAAAGUCACUGUUGAACGAGAGAGGAGCGAUUAGCGAAUCAGAGCUUUAUGUUUUGUCGAUACGAACACCUCUAUGGUGUUGGAUUACAAAGAUGAGCUCGGAAAGUAGUUUUGAUUUCGUGAAGCUCUGGCCAUGGUUUUGUGCUCUACAGCGGAGAAUGAUUCAACUUUGGAAAGCUCUGAGUUUUUAGGCGGCUUGUCGGGUGACUCCGAUUUAGCUUUUAAGGCUGGGAAGCUCCAAUAAAGGCCGUUCAGGAUGAGGAAGUCAUCAAGCAUAAGCUCUGUGAAGAUUUAAAUAGUAUGUUACAAGAAAGCAUCAAUACUCAGUUUUCAAGGCUGGAGGAGUUAAAAAGGCUGGGAACCCGACCAGAGCAUCGGCUCGGCUUCUCUUGUAAGUUCUCUUCUCAUAUGCGAUGAUAUUAUAUUUAUAAAUUUUGGAUGGGAUGGAUGGCUUGCAUGGUAGUUAUCGAGUAAUGUAGAGUUUUUGUUGUAUGAGCAUGGGAAUAAUUUUUAUGCAUGCAGUUUAAAUAAUCUUAUCUGCAUGUGUGUAUAAGUUAUUGGCACUAGCCUUCAUGCAUCAGAUGUGUUGAUUACAUUAAGAAGUACUUGACAAGACUACCAUAGAUAGUGCAUUAGUAUUUUGAUUAAGAAUCUUGAUGUCAAUUUGAAUUAGUUAUAAAUGUUCAACCCAUGGUAGGCAUUUCCCGUCUCCUAUCUAGGAGCUGCCUCUUAAUUCUUUCAUUAAGAAGCCAUCACUCUGGUGAAUUUGUUGAUGUAUUUUAAGACUGGGAAGCAGUGGAAUUUAUUAAUUCCACUCAUUUGAUUUGUUUAUACCGUCAUCAAAAUAUUUUUGUAUUGGUGGCUUGUACAUGCUUAAUAUCUAUGAAUGUCGUCAUCCAUACUCUUUAUAAGUAUGGGUGUAGUAACCAUUACAUAUACUACUUGUAUAGACUUUAGACUAUAUCCUUUCCAGAAAACAUUCUCUUGUUUGGUGUCUAUUUUGCAUUCACAUAUGGGAGAGGCCAUAUUUACAAUGCUUUUCUUGUUUGGUGUAUACUGUUCAUCCAAAUAUGAUUGGUUCAGCAGAUAUGUUAUCUGUUGGUUCAACAAAUAUGAUAUCUAGUGAUGCUAUUCUAGAUUGGUUCAUCAAAAUAUGAUAUUUGUUGGGCCUUAUGUGUUUUACCAUCACUAGCUACUUGCGGCAAUAUUAUUCUUUAUUGCUGAUUUAGUUUUUUUUUAGCACGCAAUGCAUGUAAUCUGUCCACUUAUCUAUCUUUGGCAGAACUUGAAAUCUAUCCCAAUUGGGUCAACUCUAAUACUACUAGUAAUGAUAACUGAAUAGCCUAGUGUAAUGAAGACUAUCUUAUAUGAUGCUUGUUAUAUUGCAUCUCUUCCUUUUGUUAACUUGACUUUUGGACACUUUCUUUCUUACCAAUCCUGAUUAUGCAUGGAUGCUUUUUAAUAAAUGGAAAAACAUGUGUAUAUCUGUUUUAUGCCGAAAAUUAUAUUAUUUUUUGUGAGCAAGCUCAGUAUCUAUUCAUGUGUUUUUAUCUUUCAAGAUGUGUAUAUUAUUUUUUGUGAGCAAGCUCACUCAAUUGCCUUCCUAUUUGACGGUCAUCACCUGUGAGCAGAGCAGACUCUUGAUGAGCUUGAAAUGGAAGAACGGAUCAGAUUGAUGCUAUGGCACCGGACUGGAUUAGCUGCACAGCUUUGAAUAUAUUAUUUUAUGGAAGGCCGAUUGUGUUCUAUCAAUCUCUAGGUUUUAUCUAUUUUGAACUUGCU